rnacentral:rRNA from 1 species
GAUGAACGCUGGCGGCGUGCCUAAUACAUGCAAGUCGAGCGAACAGACGAGGAGCUUGCUCCUCUGACGUUAGCGGCGGACGGGUGAGUAACACGUGGAUAACCUACCUAUAAGACUGGGAUAACUUCGGGAAACCGGAGCUAAUACCGGAUAAUAUUUUGAACCGCAUGGUUCAAUAGUGAAAGACGGUUUUGCUGUCACUUAUAGAUGGAUCCGCGCCGCAUUAGCUAGUUGGUAAGGUAACGGCUUACCAAGGCAACGAUGCGUAGCCGACCUGAGAGGGUGAUCGGCCACACUGGAACUGAGACACGGUCCAGACUCCUACGGGAGGCAGCAGUAGGGAAUCUUCCGCAAUGGGCGAAAGCCUGACGGAGCAACGCCGCGUGAGUGAUGAAUGUCUUCGGAUCGUAAAACUCUGUUAUUAGGGAAGAACAAAUGUGUAAGUAACUAUGCACGUCUUGACGGUACCUAAUCAGAAAGCCACGGCUAACUACGUG